CUGGACGUACGCACCUUUUGACACCUUCGAGCGUGCUUCAAAAAAUGGCAGCCCGUUACCAGGGUUGAUUUUUAUAUAAAUUGC